AUUGAACGCUGGCGGCAGGCUUAACACAUGCAAGUCGAGCGGGGGAGGUUGCUUCGGUAACUGACCUAGCGGCGGACGGGUGAGUAAUGCUUAGGAAUCUGCCUAUUAGUGGGGGACAACAUUCCGAAAGGAAUGCUAAUACCGCAUACGCCCUACGGGGGAAAGCAGGGGAUCUUCGGACCUUGCGCUAAUAGAUGAGCCUAAGUCGGAUUAGCUAGUUGGUGGGGUAAAGGCCUACCAAGGCGACGAUCGGUAGCGGGUCUGAGAGGAUGAUCCGCCAGACUGGGACUGAGACACGGCCCAGACUCCUACGGGAGGCAGCAGUGGGGAAUAUUGGACAAUGGGCGGAAGCCUGAUCCAGCCAUGCCGCGUGUGUGAAGAAGGCCUUUUGGUUGUAAAGCACUUUCAGUGGGGAGGAGGGUUGACAGGUUAAGAGCUAGUUAACUGGACGUUACCCACAGAAGAAGCACCGGCUAACUCCGUGCCAGCCGCCGCGGUAAGAC
rnacentral:rRNA from 1 species